rnacentral:rRNA from 1 species
GAUGAACGCUGGCGGCGUGCCUAAUACAUGCAAGUCGAGCGAACAGACGCGGAGCUUGCUACUCUGACGUUAGCGGCGGACGGGUGAGUAACACGUGGAUAACCUACCUAUAAGACUGGGAUAACUUCGGGACACCGGAGCUUAUACCGGAUAAUAUAUUGAACCGCAUGGUUCAAUAGUGAAAGACGGUUUUGCUGUCACUUAUAGAUGGAUCCGCGCCGCAUUAGCUAGUUGGUAAGGUAACGGCUUAGCAAGGCAACGAUGCGUAGCCGACGUGAGAGGGUGGUCGGCGACACGAGAACUGAGACACGGUCCAGACUACUACGGGAGGCAGCAGUAGGGAAUCGUCCGCAAUGGGCGAAAGCCUGACGGAGCAACGCCGCGUGAGUGAUGAAGGUCUUCGGAUCGUAAAACUCUGUUAUUAGGGAAGAACAAAUGUGUAAGUAACUAUGCACGUCUUGACGGUACCGAAUCAGAAAGCCACGGCUAACUACGUG